rnacentral:rRNA from 1 species
AGAGUUUGAUCAUGGCUCAGAAUCAACGCUGGCGGCGUGCCUCAGACAUGCAAGUCGAACGCGAAAGUUCCCUUCGGGGAGCAAGUAGAGUGGCGCACGGGUGAGUAACACGUAGGUAAUCUACCUUUGGAUUGGGAAUAACAAUCGGAAACGGUUGCUAAUACCGAAUAAUGCAGCGGCACCUAAUGGUGACAGUUGUUAAAGCGGGGGAUCGCAAGACCUCGCGUCUAAAGAGGAGCCUGCGGCGGAUUAGCUAGUUGGUAAGGUAACGGCUUACCAAGGCGAUGAUCCGUAGCCGGCCUGAGAGGGCGGUCGGCCACACUGACACUGACAUACGGGUCAGACUCCUACGGGAGGCAGCAGUCGGGAAUUUUGGGCAAUGGGCGAAAGCCUGACCCAGCAACGCCGCGUGAAGGAUGAAAUCCCUCGGGAUGUAAACUUCGCAAGAACAGGAAGAAUAAGUGAGAGUUAAUAUCUCUUACGAUGACGGUACUGUUUGUAAGCUCCGGCUAACUCCGUGCCAGCAGCCGCGGUAAUACGGGGGGAGCAAGCGUUGUUCGGAUUUACUGGGCGUAAAGGGCGCGUAGGCGGCCACCGCAAGUCGACUGUGAAAUCUCCGGGCUUAACUCGGAAAGGUCAGCCGAUACUGCGGGGCUAGAGUGCAGAAGGGGCAACUGGAAUUCUCGGUGUAGCGGUGAAAUGCGUAGAUAUCGAGAGGAACACCUGCGGCGAAGGCGGGUUGCUGGGCUGACACUGACGCUGAUGUGCGAAAGCUAGGGGAGCGAACGGGAUUAGAUACCCUAGUAGUCC